rnacentral:lncRNA from 1 species
ACGGAGAGUCGUACGCUGCCAAAACGGCAUUCCAGUGCGGUGGGCCUCCUUGUACGUCGACAACUUCAGGCAUGAAACCACUUGUUUCUGCAACCAAAAAGAAUACAUCCACAUUAAUUGUUCAUCCUACAUGUUGUUUCUGGCAUCAGGGAGUAAAAAGAACAUUGGUGCAUCCAUGUUGAAAGUUAUGUAUCACACAACAUUUAACCAACACCUUCACACAAAUCCUAUCUAACUCCUACCACUGAGUUUGUUGCCAAAACCAUACUUGGUGAUAAAUUAUCGAUCAAGAUUCCGUAUGAGGAGUUACUUAAAGGCUGUACAAUCUCAAGCUAUAAAUAACCUUAUAUUUAUUUAGUUUGGGUUUUGAUUUGGUCCCCGUUAUUUUUUUCUUUUUCUUUUUCUUUUCCUUUUUUCGUUUUUAUUAUUCGUCAAAUUUUGUUUUAUUUAUCUUAAAAAAGUAUUGCUCAA